rnacentral:rRNA from 1 species
GACGAACGUUGGCGGCGUGCUUAACACAUGCAAGUCGAACGGAAAGGCCCUGCUUUUGUGGGGUGCUCGAGUGGCGAACGGGUGAGUAACACGUGAGUAACCUGCCCUUGACUUUGGGAUAACUUCAGGAAACUGGGGCUAAUACCGGAUAGGAGCUCCUGCUGCAUGGUGGGGGUUGGAAAGUUUCGGCGGUUGGGGAUGGACUCGCGGCUUAUCAGCUUGUUGGUGGGGUAGUGGCUUACCAAGGCUUUGACGGGUAGCCGGCCUGAGAGGGUGACCGGCCACAUUGGGACUGAGAUACGGCCCAGACUCCUACGGGAGGCAGCAGUGGGGAAUAUUGCACAAUGGGCGGAAGCCUGAUGCAGCAACGCCGCGUGCGGGAUGACGGCCUUCGGGUUGUAAACCGCUUUCGCCUGUGACGAAGCGUGAGUGACGGUAAUGGGUAAAGAAGCACCGGCUAACUACGUGCCAGCAGCCGCGGUGAUACGUAGGGUGCGAGCGUUGUCCGGAUUUAUUGGGCGUAAAGGGCUCGUAGGUGGUUGAUCGCGUCGGAAGUGUAAUCUUGGGGCUUAACCCUGAGCGUGCUUUCGAUACGGGUUGACUUGAGGAAGGUAGGGGAGAAUGGAAUUCCUGGUGGAGCGGUGGAAUGCGCAGAUAUCAGGAGGAACACCAGUGGCGAAGGCGGUUCUCUGGGCCUUUCCUGACGCUGAGGAGCGAAAGCGUGGGGAGCGAACAGGCUUAGAUACCCUGGUAGUCCACGCUGUAAACGGUGGGUACUAGGUGUGGGGUCCAUUCCACGGGUUCCGUGCCGUAGCUAACGCUUUAAGUACCCCGCCUGGGGAGUACGGCCGCAAGGCUAAAACUCAAAGGAAUUGACGGGGCCCCGCACAAGCGGCGGAGCAUGCGGAUUAAUUCGAUGCAACGCGUAGAACCUUACCUGGGUUUGACAUGGAUCGGGAGUGCUCAGAGAUGGGUGUGCCUCUUUUGGGGUCGGUUCACAGGUGGUGCAUGCCUGUCGUCAGCUCGUGUCGUGAGAUGUUGGGUUAAGUCCCGCAACGAGCGCAACCCUUGUUCACUGUUGCCAGCACGUUAUGGUGGGGACUCAGUGGAGACCGCCGGGGUCAACUCGGAGGAAGGUGGGGAUGACGUCAAGUCCUCAUGCCCCUUAUGUCCAGGGCUUCACGCAUGCUACAAUGGCUGGUACAGAGAGUGGCGAGCCUGUGAGGGUGAGCGAAUCUCGGAAAGCCGGUCUCAGUUCGGAUUGGGGUCUGCAACUCGACCUCAUGAAGUCGGAGUCGCUAGUAAUCGCAGAUCAGCAACGCUGCGGUGAAUACGUUCCCCGGGGCU